rnacentral:rRNA from 1 species
UACAGAGGGGGCAAGCGUUGUUCGGAAUUACUGGGCGUAAAGGGCGCGUAGGCGGCCUGUUAAGUCGAACGUGAAAUCCCCGGGCUCAACCCGGGAACUGCGUCCGAUACUGGCAGGCUUGAAUCCGGGAGAGGGAUGCGGAAUUCCAGGUGUAGCGGUGAAAUGCGUAGAUAUCUGGAGGAAUACCGGUGGCGAAGGCGGCAUCCUGGACCGACAUUGACGCUGAAAACCGAAAGCUAGGGGAGCAAACGGG